AUCUUAGUGCAGUUUGAGUAUGCAUGAGAGAUUACAAUUGGCAUCGUUUGUCUCAGCAGAUAUUUAAGGCUUUAGAAGUCAUUAUUUCUGGCCUGCUAAGUGAGUUUAUGAGAUCUACUUCUCUAGAAAUUACAGUGGACAAAGGACCAUUUUGUAUUGUUUCCUGGCUACUCAUCUGAUUACACUGUGCGUGCUAAUACACUCUCUUCUUUUUGUUAUCGAUUGUCUUAACAGUAGGUCAAGUAAUAAAAAAGAUUAAAUAAGCAGAUAUGCAAGUUGGAACUUUUGGUUAGACUCUCAGGCAAGUUUUAAAAGCACAAGGUCAUUUAAAAAUGAGAUUUAGAAAUUAAAUCACUUUAAAUAGAAGGACUUUGGUAUCCCGAGAAGGUAUAUUAUUUGAGGUAACGGAUGAAAAUAUGAAGUGAAUAUAAAUCCAGAGGAGGUGUGAAUUCUAUAAAAGAGCAAGUCCCUAGAGGGAAAGCUUAGUGUCACAUUGUGGUUUGGGUCCGUGACUUAGGAAGCAAGCUUUACUUUUCUCU
rnacentral:lncRNA from 1 species